rnacentral:rRNA from 1 species
UGGGGAGUAUUGGGCAAUGGGCGAAAGCCUGACCCAGCCACGCCGCGUGAGUGAUGAAGGCCUUCGGGUCGUAAAGCUCUGUGGGGAGGGACGAACAAGCCGGGCGCUAAUCACCCCGGUCCUGACGGUACCUCCUUAGCAAGCACCGGCUAACUUCGUGCCAGCAGCCGCGGUAAUACGAAGGGUGCAAACGUUGCUCGGAAUCAUUGGGCGUAAAGCGCACGUAGGCGGCCCGAUAAGUCGGAUGUGAAAUCCCUCGGCUCAACCGAGGACGUGCAUUCGAAACUGUCGGGCUCGAGUAUGGAAGAGGGUCGCGGAAUUCCCGGUGUAGAGGUGAAAUUCGUAGAUAUCGGGAGGAACACCAGUGGCGAAGGCGGCGACCUGGGCCAAUACUGACGCUGAGGUGCGAAAGCGUGGGGAGCAAA